UCUCGCUAUUUAUCAUGCAACUCCUGUCUCCAGAUGAUAUGCAGUCUUGAGAGCAGGUGCAGUGAUGCAGCUCAGCUUCCCGGAGCGCGCCACCACACAGCACAGAAUGAUGCAGAGACGUGUAGCUGAUUGCAACGGAUUAAGCAAAGAGGGAUUACCCAAGACAUGCAGCCAAGGGAUUAGAGUGUUCUCCAGGACUUUCUGAAGAUUGGGUGCGUUCAUCGUGACCGUUCAGCGGUCCCAAUCCACAGUCAACAGAUCCUCUCAUGAAACCAGAAAGCAGAGCAGUCUCACUGCCUCAGAAGCCCAACCAGGAACACACUGCCUCGCUACAUCAUGAAGCCUCAACAUUGGUGUUUGAUGCACUGUCUAACUACGCUGAUAAAACAUUGCUAGCAGUGAGUGGCUGCUAAUGAUCUCAGAUCUCAGUCACUAUACUGAAUAUCUUUGCUCUCUGUGUGACCUGUGUUGAUCCAGUCUUUAUAGCCGGACAUUGCCUUGGUACUCCAGCAGACUUCCCCUCUACAGGUACUACAGUAUGUCUGUGUUGGGUUCAUGUUUUCUAGUGUUGUCUAUCUUUCACCAGCUCUGCUGGGACCUUAGUGGUUUGGAGGCCAUGAGUGCUCAGCGCAGUGGAGUCUCCAUCCUGUUUGGUGUACAUGUAAAGCCCAGGACAAGACUACAGGGCUGCUGGUGUGUGCUGUCCGGAUGUGGCCAUGAUGACUGUACACCCACUUUAGGGAAGCCAUGUUUCCUGGACACUUUUCUUUUUGCGCCAUCUCUGACCCCUACUCCCUUCUAGGCUUCGUCCUGUGCAGCAGGAAGUGAUGUCACAUGCAUCCUGACCUUUUAACCGUCAGAGGAUGGGUGUCGUCAUCAUAUCCCUGCUCUGCUCUCCCCCUCCCAUCACGGCUAACUGGACUACCAGAGAGAGACCUGGCAGCCUGCUGCUCUGCUCUCCCCCUCCCAUCACAGCUAACUGGACUACCAGAGAGAGACCUGGCAGCCUUCAGCCUGCCAACCACAAAUCUCUGUUUAACUCCUGACCUCCAUCUCACAUGCCUUCAUCAAGCUUAAAUCUGAUGCAUUUUUAAGCCCCUUCUUAUCAGCAAAUCAUUUUGAGGGGGAAAACAGCAACAACAAAAGUAUUUGUAGAUAAAUUAUAAAUUGUAUUUGCUGUAGCCUACAGUAGGGUGCAUUCAUUUAAUGUACUGUAUAAAUGUAUUUCCUUCAGGCCCAGCUCUGUGAAAAUCAGCUUAAAAGCUCACCACAGGCAGCCAUCAAAUGUGAUCAAUGACCAGGGUAGGUAUCCACCCCACGGCCAUAUCCGCUCUAUCACGUGAUAAACUGGUUCCCUAUGUAAGGUUUCAGUGGCUGUCUAGGCUUACAGAUCCCUUAUGGACUCAUUGAUUUAUUCUACUGUAUGUUACGGUGUCUGUUGAAUAUUAAAGCUGGUUCCUGUGUUAUAA